rnacentral:misc_RNA from 1 species
ACGAGCAGGUGCAUCCAUGAACUUUUAAGCAGAUGAAAAUUUGGAACAGAGAUAAAUUAAUUCCAGAUGUGAGACAUUACUGCCAUUCUUGACCAGAUAGAAACACAAACUCUAUAUCCUAUCCCAACCAGUCAAAUAAAAAGAAUAUCCAGAUCAAUUUAUGGGAAGCGAGACGCAUUGUAGUUUAUCAUGUAGAAGAAAUAAAGGUUAGACAACAUGGAAUUUCAUGUAUAAAUUGAAAAACAUCUAUAUGAAUUAAGAAGCAUCACAAACUACUAUGAAGAAAAUGAUGCCUAUGUAAAACUUGCAUGAUAAAUAGCAUAACAUAAGAACUUCAAGAACAUUUUAUUGACCAGGGAGGGACGGGAAGUGUGAGAGAGAGAGAAAGAGAUGGUUACAAAUUCUUUUUUGAAAUGAAAGCAAAAGAAUAGGUGGAGCCAAGACGAAAUCAUUUAAGUUAAAUACAAUACAAAAGCAUGACUAUCUUAAAGUUGCACCGGUGACAGUUUCAGGCAUUAUAGAUUUAAAAUUGGAUGUUACCUAAAAUUUAACUCAACUUUUUUCAUUUUUCAAAAACAGUGGUCUUUUCUCCUCAUUUUCCAUCCCAGGACCUUGCUUCAGUGGGAGUCAGGACCACAACUAGGCGAUUGCCUUUGAUGCUUAUAUUUUGGUAGAGCAAAUAUAGAAUGUGUUCUCUACAUUAAUACUGGACCUUGAAAUGUACAUUAAUAUCACAGACCUCUAAUUUAGACACUCUCAAAAGAGAAGUAUAAAAAACAAAGCUAAAAAAUAACAGAAUUAACUUGAGUCAAAGAUUUACCUUCUGAAGGUGUAGAACAACAUA